UUAGGAAGGGGAUCACAAUUGGAUUGGUUUGUAAACCCAUAUCGCCUCCAGUUGAACGUUUUUUUCGCUAAAGAGAACUUGCGGCCGACAGCUUCGUCGUAAGGUAACGGCCACCAAGGCGACGAUCAGUAUUCGGUCCAGAGGACGAUCAGACACACUCGGAACUCGAAAACGGUCCAGACUCCUACGGGAGGCAGCAGUGGGGAACCCUCCGCAAUGGGCGAAAGCCUGACGGAGCAAUACCGCGUGAGGGAUGAGGGCCUAUGGGUUCGUAAACCUCCUUUUUCAGGGAGGAACAAAAUGACGUGUACCUGAAGAAUAAGCAUCGGCUAACUCCGUGCCAGCAGCCGCGGUAAGACGGAGGAUGCAAGUGUUAUCCGGAAUCACUUGGGCGUAAAGGUCUUGUAGGUGGUCAAAUAAGUCAACUUGUUUAAAUUCUUUGAGGCUUCAACCUUCAAAAUCGCAGUCGAAACUUAUUUAGACUAGAGUAUAGUAGGGGUAAAAGGGAAUUUUCCAGUGGAGCGGUGAAAUGCGUAGAGAUUUGGAAAGAACACCGAUGGCGAAGGCACUUUUACUGGGCUAUUACUAACACUCAGAGACGAAAGCUAGGGUAGCAAAUGGGAUUAGAUACCCCAGUAGUCCUAGCUGUAAACAAUG
rnacentral:rRNA from 1 species